UCCCAGGCGUCGAGUGGCGGACGGGUGAGUAAUACUUAGGAAUCUGCCCAUUAGUGGGGGACAACUAGAAGAAAUUCUAGCUAAUACCGCAUACGCCCUACGGGGGAAAGCGGGGGAUCUUCGGACCUCGCGCUAAUGGAUGAGCCUAAGUCGGAUUAGCUUGUUGGUGAGGUAAUGGCUCACCCAGGCGACGAUCCGUAGCUGGUCUGAGAGGACGAUCAGCCACACUGGGACUGAGACACGGCCCAGACUCCUACGGGAGGCAGCAGUGGGGAAUAUUGGACAAUGGGCGCAAGCCUGAUCCAGCAAUGCCGCGUGUGUGAAGAAGGCCUGCGGGUUGUAAAGCACUUUCAGUAGAGAAGAAAAGCCUACGGUUAAUAACCGUGAGUCUUGACGUAACCUACAGAAGAAGCACCGGCUAACUCCGUGCCAGCAGCCGCGGUAAUACGGAGGGUGCGAGCGUUAAUCGGAAUUACUGGGCGUAAAGCGCGCGUAGGCGGCUUUGUCAGUCGGAUGUGAAAGCCCCGGGCUUAACCUGGGAAUUGCAUUCGAUACUGCAUGGCUAGAGUAUGGUAGAGGGAAGUGGAAUUCCGGGUGUAGCGGUGAAAUGCGUAGAUAUC
rnacentral:rRNA from 1 species